AAGUUGGAUAUUGCUGAAAAUUGAAAAAUUUAAUUAAACACAUUAUUUUUAUAAAUUGUUUUAUUAGUUCAAUAAAAUAAACAAAAACAAUAAUUAUUACCACACUCAAAUUUAUCGGCAAAGUCGAUAUCUUCCUCCACAUCAAUAUGAUUCUUCACUUUAAUCCAAUAUUGAGAACAUAUGAGAGCUUUCACCAUAUUAGGAGACAAUGAACUCCUAAAUGCAUGAAGAAUGCGUCCCCUCGUGCUAAAUGCAGAAUCCGAAGCAACGGUAGAAAUGGGAAUAACCAACACAUCACGGGUAAUACAUGCAAGGAUAGGGAAUCUUGCACUAUUAACUUUCCACCACCCCAAAAUAUCGAAAGUCUCAUCAACUUCUUCUACAUCUUCACUUAAAUACUUGUCCAAUUCAGAUUUGUCUCCAAGUAUAACUCCAGUCCGACGCUUUUUGAACUCUUCUAUAAUUCUAUUUGUAUUUGGGAUUCCAUUGAACUAGAACCUUAGGAUGACAUUGACAUAUUACUUAAACUUGAUUUUCCACUUUCUUGAGUUGAAUACUUUUUCCUGUACUCAUUAAGUAAAUCUUCCAUUGAUCUCUUCACACCAUCGGCAAUCUCCAUUCCAAACUUUUGCUAGAUUGAUAUUCCAGUGGCCUUAUUACUUGAUUGAUAUUCUAAAUCCCGAUAUUCAUUAUUAAUAUCAAAAUGAAUAUCUAUUUCCAAACCCUCCAAUGGAUUUUCAACUUCAAUUUCACCAUUUCCAUACAUUCUUUCUAAACCAAAUUGAACAAAACUCAACUUAUACCAAGGAUCAAGCACAACGGGAAUAUAUAACAACAUAUUCAUUUUUGCCACAUUUCCCCAAUACUUAUUAUAUUUUAUUUUCAUUGCCUUGGCCAUUUUUUGCAAUUCUCUAUCAUUGCUUCUUUCCCAAUCAUUCAAAAUAAUAUAAGUGUCACAUAUUUCAAGAAAUGCAUUAUUUGAUGUGACAUAAGAUGAGCCCAAAAGACGCACAAUGAGAUUAUAAAAAUAUUCUAAGAAUCCAACAAACAAUUUAGCCCUAUUCCAAUCCGAGUCCAUUGGAAUAUUUUUUCCCUCAUCUCUUUUUCAAAGCCACGAUCUUCAAACCCAAAUCGAUCAAAAGCUUCCUUAUAUUUUAAGGCCGAACUUAACAUCAAGUAAGUUGAGUUCCAUCUAGUUGGGCAAUCUAGACUUAAGCCUUUCUUAUCUUCAAGACCACAAUAGUCAAUACAGUCUUUAAAUGACUUGACCCUAGUCGGAUAUUAUUUUGCAUACUUCAUUGAACGCCUAACUGUCUCAACAGAUUUCUCAAUCAACUUCAACCCAUCAUUCACAACAAGAUUAAUAAUGUGAGAUAUACAUCUCAUGUGAAUGAAUUUACCACCUAAGACAUUGGUUUUCCAGUAUGUACAUCUAUCUCUCAAGUAAGCCGUCGCAGUAUCAUUUGAGCUAGCAUUAUCUAUUGUGAGUGUCAUAACUUUAGAAAGUCCCCACUCUUUUAGACAAGACUCAACCAUUUCCCCAAUGUCCUUCCCCUUAUGACUUGUGAUGAUUCGAAAAUUCAAGAUUUUCUUAUGCAAUUUUCAGUUUUUAUCAAUAAAAUGAGCAGUAACACACACAUAUAAUUCAAGCGUUGAUUAGAAGUCCAAGAGUCAGUUGUGAGGCUAACACGUUCACAAUGUUUUCUAAGGAUUGUUUUCAACUUACUCUUUUCAUUCUCAUAAAAACGAAUACAAUCUCUAGCAAAUGUAAAACGUGAAGGCAAUUGAAACCUAGGACAAGCAACUUGCAUAAGUCUUUUAAAACCCUCCUUCUCAACAUGUUUGAAAGGAAGUUCAUCUACAAUAAGAUGGUGAACUACGGCUUUCCUAAUCGCUUCUUGAUCAAACCUCCAAGAAAUGAGUGUACCCUCACAUGCCCCUCUCUCUCCCUCACCCUCUUUGAUCCCCACAAGUUGGGGUUGAGUUUUGUCCAUGUUGAUAGGAUUUUUUUUACAAGUUCUAAAGUGAUUUCUUAAAGAAGUAGUGCCAUUUGAAGAUGAAUCAACAACUAAUUCUUUUUCACAAUAAAUACACUUACCUUUGAUGACAUUACCAUCCUUAUAUUUAACGGGAAUGAAGUGCCCCUCAGUCCACACCUUGGAUCUAGGUGCCAUUCUUUUUCUUGGCAUCUUUACACUUUCUGAGUGUCCCGUAGUUUUUGUACUUGUUGUGGUUUCUUUUGACCCGGGCUCUAUAUUGGUGGGAACACUGUCAUUUGACUCUCUCCCAUGUCCAAUUAGAUCAAGGUCAUCAAGGUUAGGCUUGUC
rnacentral:lncRNA from 1 species